rnacentral:rRNA from 1 species
UACGGGGGGAGCAAGCGUUGUUCGGAUUCACUGGGCGUAAAGGGUGCGCAGGUGGGCUGGUAAGUUCGAUGUGAAAGCCCCGGGCUUAACCCGGGAAUGGCAUUGGAUACUACUGGUCUGGAGGAUUGGAGGGGGGACUGGAAUUCUUGGUGUAGCAGUGAAAUGCGUAGAUAUCAAGAGGAACACCAGUGGCGAAGGCGAGUCCCUGGACAAUUCCUGACACUGAGGCACGAAAGCCAAGGGAGCAAACAGG